rnacentral:rRNA from 1 species
UACAGAGGGUGCGAGCGUUAAUCGGAAUUACUGGGCGUAAAGCGCACGUAGGUGGCGACGUAAGUCGGGUGUGAAAGCCCCGGGCUCAACCUGGGAAUUGCAUUCGAGACUGCAUUGCUGGAGUACGGAAGAGGAGGGCGGAAUUCCCGGUGUAGCGGUGAAAUGCGUAGAUAUCGGGAGGAAUACCAGUGGCGAAGGCGGCUUUCUGGGCCUGUUCUGACGCUGAGGAGCGAAAGCGUGGGGAGCAAACCGG